CGAGGGACCACGUGGCCAGGGGCUGGCCAAUGACCAGGCCGCCCGGGAUGAGCUAAUAAUGGAAGCAAUUUGUAACUUUCAGUAGCUCUCUAGGCCUGGGUACCGGAGGGAGGGAGGCGGGCAGAGGAGGGGAGAUGGGCACCCCCAGUCUUUCCAUCCUCCUCAUUCGUCUAGGGGCACCCGAAUCCCCUAUUCCUUAUUUCCCCUAUCACUCAGGCACUGGCAGGGUCCUUGGCCCACUCCUGUUGGCCGCCGCGGCUCCAAAGCGAGAUGUGCCUGAGACAGGUUUGACCAGGCAACUGAAAAGACAUCCCUAAGGGAAGACAAAGCAAAGGUAUGAAAGGAACACACGUCCCUGACUGACUAGGAGGAACAGAGCUGCCUGCUGUCUGGAACCGCUUCCUCCCAGACUAAGUGAGGCCCGGAGACAAGAUAUGACUUGCUUAAGGUCACACACUUAGUUUCUCUGUC
rnacentral:lncRNA from 1 species